rnacentral:lncRNA from 1 species
AAAAGCAGGGAGGCGCAGGGGCCGGCUUCUUGCUGAGGAUUUACAAGCCUUAAAAGCUGAGAAGUUGUUGAACGAGGAUUGGAAAGGUGCUGCUGAAAGCCCUGACCCCAUCAGAGCAGGGGUUGGGUGUUGGGCAGCUCCAGCCUCGAGGAUGCUCGCACGCUCCCCGUCCUAUCCAAAAAGGAGCUGAGCCCUGAGUCCCCAAAAACCCCGCUGCUGGCUCGAGGUUUGGACAUCCCAGGAGAACGCCGCGACUGCCCCUGAGCUCCGGACAUCCCCAAAAAAUUCUGCAGCCGCCCCGGAGGUGGGAUUCAGCCUGGCACAGCCCCAAUUGCUCGGCACCUGGGAGGGAGGCUGCGGAGCCGCUCUGCGUCUCGAGCUCUGAUUCAGCAAGACACGAAGGCAUGCAACUUCGGGGAGUUCCUUGAAAUUGGGCUGCUCCCGAUCAGCAGCUACUCCCACACACCAAGGCUGCGCUCUUGCUCGGGGAGCCUGCUGGGGCCGUCCUCUGCCGGCUGCUUCCCUCGCUCCGCGCGCCAGAAAAGGGGGAGCAGAGCUGCGAUUUCGUGCCUGGGAAGGGACAAGGAGAGAAGAGAUCCAGCUAACGUGAAUUUGCAAAGGCGCCCCGUGGUUUUGGUUCCGAGAUAGCCGUUUUCGCAGCCCUGUUUAGCUGAUAAGCUGCGUGCUGGGCUUAACCCUCGGGGGUGCUAAAAGAGGCCUCGUGCCAAGAAAUCCCACGGCAGCGGGCGCCGGAUCUCGCUGUGCCUGCAGGAUCUGCCCCCAGCACCGCUCUAAUCCGGGGUUGAAACCUCUGGAGCAGCCCCUCCGGGGCUGAGCUCGCCCCAGGGGGGUUUG